UAGAGAGGCUGGUGUUAGGACACAUAGGCGACUGCAGGGGUAAUAGUGUAUUAUCGUAGGGAGUACAGAGAGUAGCCCCUGUGAGUGGAGAGAGUGUGGCUACAGAGACGGUGGUCAGAGGGGACACAGAUGGAUUAUUGAAGAUGAUGCAGGGAUUUUGGGGAUGGGAAGAGGGGUAUCAUCAGAUAAUGCAAGGAGUAAGAAAACUGAGUGAGGAAAACAAUCACCGGGAGAGGGGAACAUGGUGGAGAAAAAUGUGGGAAGUGAUCGACCCAAUUCUGUGUUUUUGGUUCCUCGCCGAAGGGUUAAACGUUGAACUUGAAAGGUUCUUUGCGGCAUCCUGUUCAGGGCUGUCGUUUCUUUCUGUGCAGGAUGGGAGCUGAGCCGUGAAUGUAGCUGUCCAGGGUACUGAAUCUUUCACACUCUCCUUGACUCGGAAUGUCUGGUGUCCGCUGGAGUGUAUUUUGUGUUGGCGCUGCCUCCUCCGAAAUAUUUCUUAUUCUUUGUUUUUUUCAAGAGGACAGUGUUCCAGCGGCCGUCCCCGCGUCCCGACUGUAAAUUCCAGUUUGUUUCAGUCCCGGCGAUUGUGACUGGAGGCGAGAGCUUUGGAAAAUUGGGAACUGAGAUGAGUGAGAAGUGACUGGAGGUCACGACUAGACACUGGGGAGCGGGGACUGGAGGGAGACUCAGGACUGGUGGGGUCGGGGCUGGAGACUGGGGAUUAGGCACGAGGUUUGGGGAGUCGGAGCGGGAGAGUUGAUGCUAGGUGCUCUGAUGCCGGAGGAAGAGACCUGGGUGCUGGGCUUUCUCAGGUUCUUGCUGUUGAUCAUCGUUAGUCUCGGCUCCUCGGUAAUCGCAUCGAAACAGGACAGCCGGUAGGAUUUGAGCGUUCCCACGGACUCCGGAGACCAAAGGAGCCGAUCCGCGCCAGAUUGCAAGGAAGAGCCAUGGAACAAAUGCUUCAGACUGUCCUCUUCCUGUCUGCAGUAGAUACUACUUUCGCCAGAGAGCCCAGUCAACCAACCAUCAAUGUCGCUGUUGUACUCGGAGGAUCUUGGUACAACAUGGAAAUCAGAGGCAGCUUUAAUCAAGAGACCUUCCAGGACCUGCCUGUACAAAUCAACACCAUCACAGUAAUAGUGAACAACACCAAUCCCAGCAGUCUGAUCACUCAAAUCUGUGAUGUGCUGACCAAAUCCAGGAUCCAUGCUGUUAUCUUUGAGGAUGAUAUUGAAUCUGAGGCUGUAGCACAAAUUCUGGAUUUUACCUCUGCAGAAGUCUCAGCUCCAAUCAUUGGGAUGAGUGGAGGCUCUACUGUUGUGCUCACUCCAAAGGAGCAGCAUUCUGCAUUUCUACAGUUGGGUGCUUCAAUGGAACAGCAGAUCAGGGUCAUCUUCAAAGUUAUGGAAGAGUAUGACUGGGGGAGCUUUGCCAUCAUUACUAGUUACUUCCCUGGAUAUCAGGAAUUCAUCACCCACAUUCAGCUUUUUAUCGAAACCAGCUAUUAUGGGUGGGAAAUUGAACAGACUCUUACUCUUGAAAUGACAAAAGAUGAGGACAAUUUCAAAACAAAGAGACUUCUGCAGCAGAUUGAUGCACAGGUUCUGAUUCUAUAUUGCUCGAGAGGGGAGGCAGAAAAUCUGUUUGAAUUGGCUGAACAAGCAAACCUCCUUGGCCCAGACCAUAUCUGGAUACUUUCCAGUAUUGCAGUGGGCAACAUGGAACGGGUGGCAAAGAAAUUUCCUGUCGGACUAAUCAGCAUUAUGACAGAGCGGUGGAAGAUGAGCUUGCAGCAGCGGGUGAGAGAUGGCGUGGCAAUCAUUGCAAAAGGUGCGGAAAGUUUUUACAAAACAUACGGACACAUGCCGGGACCAAGUGCUGACUGUAGGCAUCCAGCUCGAGGGGUCACAAGAAAUAUACUAUACAGGCACAUGUUGAACAUUCGCUGGGAAGGUAAAGACUUCUCUUUUAAUGAGGAUGGCUAUUUGGUGAGACCUUCGAUGGCUGUGGUCACACUGAACAGAAGCAGAUUUUGGGAAAUGGUUGGAAGGUGGGAAAAUGGCUUGAUAAGAAUGAAGUAUCCAGUGUGGCCAAGAUAUGGAAAAUUUCAGCAGCCUGUAACUGACAGUGCCCAUUUAACUGUCGCCACAUUGGAGGAGAGGCCAUUUGUGAUUGUGGAGGAAGCAGAUCCUGAAAAUGGAGCUUGUGUACGGAAUACUGUACCUUGCAGGAAGCAAGCAAACCUGAGUGAAAGCAUUGCAGAGACAUAUACCAAAUUGUGUUGUAAAGGAUUCUGCAUCGACAUCCUGAAGAAACUCGCAAAAACUGUCAAAUUUUCCUACGACCUUUAUCUAGUGACCAAUGGUAAACAUGGCAAGAAGGUUCGGGGAAUCUGGAAUGGAAUGAUUGGUGAGGUUUUCUACCAGAGAGCAGACAUGGCUAUCGGAUCUCUCACCAUCAAUGAGGAGCGCUCUGAGAUUGUGAGUUUCUCUGUCCCCUUUGUGGAGACUGGAAUUAGUGUGAUGGUGGCCAGGAGCAACGGAACCGUCUCCCCAUCAGCUUUUCUCGAACCUUACAGCCCUGCAGUGUGGAUGAUGAUGUUUGUGAUGUGUCUGACGGUGGUUGCUCUCACAGUCUGUCUAUUUGAGUACUUCAGUCCCGUUGGAUACAACCGAAACCUCAUGAAUGGCAAAAUUACAGGAGGGCCAACAUUUACCAUUGGGAAAUCAGUGUGGCUCCUCUGGGCACUUGUCUUCAACAAUUCUGUUCCAAUUGAAAAUCCCAAAGGAACAACAAGCAAAAUCAUGGUGUUAAUCUGGGCUUUUUUUGCUGUCAUCUUCCUGGCGAGUUAUACAGCAAACUUGGCAGCAUUUAUGAUUCAAGAGCAGUUCAUUGACACUGUCUCAGGUCUCAGUGACAAAAAGUUUCAGAAGCCGCAAGAUCACUAUCCACCAUUUCGAUUUGGUACUGUUCCCAAUGGCAGCACAGAACGGAAUAUCAAGAACAACUAUCCAGAUAUGCACUCUCACAUGACCAAAUAUAAUCAACGUUCUGUGGCAGAUGCUCUUGCCAGUUUAAAAUCAGGGAAGCUCGAUGCCUUUAUUUAUGAUGCAGCUGUUCUUAAUUAUAUGGCUGGGAAGGAUGAGGGUUGUAAACUUGUUACUAUCGGAAGUGGCAAAGUAUUUGCAACGACUGGUUAUGGGAUAGCUCUGCAGAAAAACUCCAAAUGGAAAAGAGCCAUUGAUCUGGCCCUGUUACAGUUCCUGGGUGAUGGAGAGACACAUAAGCUGCACACUGUGUGGUUGACAGGAAUCUGUCAGAAUGAAAAGAAUGAGGCAAUGAGCAGCAAACUGGACAUUGAUAACAUGGCUGGUGUCUUCUACAUGCUCCUUGUGGCCAUGGGCCUCAGUCUGCUGGUCUUCGCUUGGGAGCAUUUAGUUUAUUGGAAGCUGAGACAUCAUGUGAAGAAAUCCAGCAAGACAGAUUUUCUUCUGGCAAUCAGCAGGGGAAUCUACAGUUGUUUUAGUGGUGUACAGGAAGUCUCCAGCCCACUCCAUGUGGCCACUCCCAUUGUCUCCUCAAGCUUUUCUCAAGCCAACAUGAUGAAGAUGUUGCAGGCGGCUAAAGAUUUAGUCUCAUCCACAAACGUGGAAAGUUCUUUGGAGAAUGCAACUAAGACAAUAGAACAUUGGACACGUGCAGGUGAAAACCUCACAAACAAACCUCCUAAAGCACCAUCACAGCAGAUUGAAGGAUUAGUGGCCGUGGAUAGCCAACAACUUGCAGUUCCCUAUAUUUCUAACAGACACCAACUUUGUUACCUUCCAGCAACAUUAUCUCCAUCUCUGGCUUCUGAACGGGAGAAAAGAUGGUCAGGUCAACCAAUAAUUAAAUAUAAGAGCAGACCAGAAAGCAGAUAUAUAACUUCAAAACCUUUUACUGUAAUCCACAACCCUUAUUCCAUGCCACCAAAUGAAUUCCCUAUGUACUCUCAAUAUGCCAAGGGAACGGAUAGGAGAAGAGAUGUGGAAUCCCCUUAUGUUCCAUUUAUCAGCAAUAAUGAAUUGCAUUACCAGGAUAUUUAUAACAGAAAACAUUUCACAAGAAGGCUAUCUUUGCCUUGUAGGAAAUUGGCCAGUUGCUCCGCAUCUCACGUUGCUUCUCAGUGUGGGACAAAGACAGUACCCGCAGUGAAAUCUUGUAUUGGAUUGAACGAGAAAUGGUCUGUGCGAAAUUUGCACCCUCCAGCAUCAUAUCCCAACCACACCAAUUGUAGCUCGUGUAUGAGACUUUAUUCUAGGUCACAGUCAGAAGGACUACCCUCACUAGCCAGACGAUCUUCAUAUAUCAAGGCAACAAAGGAACCAGAGGAAAUCUUAAAGUUUCAAGACAGGACAGGAAACUUGGAAAAGCUGGGACUGCAAAGAGAAAUUGCUGAUUUGUUCUCCAGUCUGAAUAAUGAGUCCCUAGAAUCAACAAGGGAUACUAGCAAGCAGUCCUCAGAUCUAAGAGAAGCGGUCCUGGGUCAUGACAAGAAGAUCUUAUAUUCUCGCUCACCAAACAGACCCAGCUAUUCUCCACCUGCCAGACUUCCCUCAUACAGAGAGGCCUGCCUGCAAAACUCAGCUGCUCUGAGACAUGCCUCCCCGGAACUACUCCAACACUCAUGGUUACAGUCCUGUCCUAGUCCCUCCAUGUAUGUCUGGCAUCGCCGAAUGGGCGCUCAACGCUUCAACUGGUUGUUUGAAUCAGGACACCAAUCCUGCGACAGAGGCAUUAUGAUGAAGUACUUAGAAAAAAGGACUCCACUCCAUGAAAGUCCUGUGAGGCAGCCCACAGCUGGAAGGAGAAUAGUCCACCAUAGGGUGACAGCCAGAGGAAAUCAGGAGCUGGAGGCUGGAAGAGAAGGAGUCAGUUGUUCUCAUUUCAGAAAAUCGUGUGCAAGGUUUUCCAGUCUUGAAUCUGAGGUAUAGAUUCAUAAAAUUUAAAAGAAUUAAACUCCAGGAGUGAAAACCUUCCUUUCAUUCAGUGAUCCCAUUCUUCGUUCAAUUACUUUGAGUGUUUUCUAACUUCUCCCUGUCCCUCCCUGGUUAAAAUACACAUUGAUUACUGAGUUAGCCAACUGGGUUGAAAUGACUUUUUUCCCCCAACUUAACUCUUCCAGUCCCUAAUACCAGGGCUAUUCUCCAUAAUGCUACAUGGGAAAAAGAUGUCAUGACAACCAAGCAGAUCUCAGAUGAACUGUACCCGGCCAUGAAGAAAUAAAAAGUAAAGUCUUAAGCAGCCAGACCAACUGCAAGUGCUCAUUGACUGAGCAUGGAAUCAAGAAACCUCACCAGGGGUCGAGAUUUACAAGGCAAGAGCAAAAAAAGGGAAAAAAAUAAUCAAAAAUAAAUCUUGGGAGCCAAGAAUAUUUAUGAACCAUUUCUGGGAAUAUUGAAUGUCUACUUCAACACAGCAUGUACCACAGUGCUCUUAUUUUCCAGUUGUGUUGAUGGCUCUCUUCUGUAUUUUAAAGUACAAGUUACCUGCAAAAAUGAUGCACAAGUAGAACAUGAAAUCUCAUGGCCAUUCUUUCAGCCAUCAAAUGGAAGAUUACAUUUCUUUUUACUAAAUACAGUCUCUAGAGAUUAGAUUAGAGUUCAUAACACAAUAACAAUCUUCAGCUUCAUUAAAUGACUUACCCAGCUGUCAAAAGGCUAGGAAUGGGACCAUUUAAUGAUGAUCGCAGUGAUCACUUUCAUUUUCAACUCCCUGUAUAAUAAUGCACCAAUACUUGUGGAUAGCAGUAUCUGGACAAUGUACAGGCUGACAAAAUGGUACAUAACAUCAUACAACACACAGGUGCCAAUUAUGACACAAACAAACGUUUCUCCUUGACCUUUAAUAACAAUAGUACUACCAGAGUUCUCACCAUCAACAUUGACCAGAAGCUGAAGUGAACAAUUGAGAUCAACCAUGUGGCUACAAAAACAGCAUAUGAGCUGGGUCCUCUACAAUGAGUGACUUACAUGUCUCUGUAAAGGCCUUCACCACCUACUCAUUGUUAUUUUGUAACAAUAGCCAACAUUCAAGAAACAAGAGCAUCAAAAGGAUAUUUUCUUGAUUUUGGAACCAUUUGUUUAAAUUAGAAAAAUGCACGCCACGUUCAGAUACCUAACGAAGGUGCAGUGGGAAACCAGGAAAUCUUCAUUUUAAGUGAAACACGAGAAAAUUGAUGGCUCUAGUCAAAGAACAAGCUCAAAGAAUGCCUUUAAAAUAUUCAGCUGAUCAGAGGGAAAAUAGCUAUAGAUGUUAUUCAAAAGGACUUCUAAGGCAGCAUUUGAUAAUGAAGUUUGAGUGCAAUGGUUGGCUGAAGUUAAAACUCUUGAAACUGGUUUAGUUAGGAAUUUGACUGAGCAGCAGGAAUCACAGUGGGAAUAAUGGACAGUUUCUUGAACUGAGUGCUAAUAGCAGUGCCCUGCAUGACGUCCACAAGACAUGGAGACAACAAAAUGUUUUUAAAAAGGAUCCUUUUUGUUUACAUUUUUAAAAUAACUUGAGGACCAAAACCUCACCUAUCACAUGACACAACAGGACUACAAUUUCUGGAAGGUUUUCAAUCAGCAGUUACUAGGACAGAGGCAUCUGGCUCUGAACCGGGGCAUCAUUUUCCUGGAAUGUCACACCCCUGUUCUGAAUGUUUGGAAUACAGGGUCACUUUUGAAACAUAUACCUGAAGUGACACUAACAGUUCACUACUAAUCUCUUACAAGUAAGCAAUAGUCCUCACCAGAGAGAAAUGGAAAACAACAUUAACAAGCUCAGUCAUUAAACUGAAACCAGUUCAACCAGGAAAAAUUUCUCGACAGUUGCUCUAGUUCAUUAAGAAUCUAAUCGAUUAUAAUCAGUCUGCUAAGAAUCCAAGGUUUGCUCACAAAACCCAGCUCCUAGCUGAGCUAAGCCUAUGUCAUAUCUAAAUUGUUUUGAAAACUAUUUUCUUCUCAAAAUCCAUGUUCACUGCAAAAGUGAACCAAGUCUGUACAUCAAAACCAUCUUACUACACCUUUGCCAACUUUAAAAGAAAACUGCACCCACCUGAAUGCAAGCAUCUACAGGAUAGAUUCUCACUAUUUCCAACUU